rnacentral:rRNA from 1 species
CAUGCAAGUCGUACGAGAGUUUUUAACUCAAGUGGCGGACGGGUGAGUAACACGUAAGAAUUUACCUUUAGGAGGGGGAUAACUGCUAGAAAUGGCUGCUAAUACCCCAUAUGCUUUCGAGUGAAAUGGAGUUUUCCGCCUAGAGAGAAGCUUGCGGCUGAUUAGCUUGUUGGUGAGGUAAUGGCUUACCAAGGCGACGAUCAGUAUCUGGUUUGAGAGGAUGAUCAGACACACUGGAACUGAGACACGGUCCAGACUCUUGCGGGAGGCAGCAGUGGGGAAUUUUCCGCAAUGGGCGAAAGCCUGACGGAGCAAUACCGCGUGAGGGAUGACGGCCUAUGGGUUGUAAACCUCUUUUUUCAGGGAGGAAUAAAUGACGUGUACCUGAAGAAUAAGCAUCGGCUAACUCCGUGCCAGCAGCCGCGGUAAGACGGAGGAUGCAAGUGUUAUCCGGAAUCACUGGGCGUAAAGCGUCUGUAGGUGGUUUAAUAAGUCAACUGUUAAAUCUUGAGGCUCAACUUCAAAAUCGCAGUCGAAACUAUUAGACUAGAGUAUAGUAGGGGUAAAGGGAAUUUCCAGUGGAGCGGUGAAAUGCGUAGA